rnacentral:rRNA from 1 species
CGACUUAUAUUCUGUAGCAAGGUUAACCGUAUAGGGGAGCCGGAGGGAAACCGAGUCUUAACCGGGCGUUAAGUUGCAGGGUAUAGACCCGAAACCCGGUGAUCUAGCCAUGGGCAGGUUGAAGGUUGGGUAACACUAACUGGAGGACCGAACCGACUAAUGUUGAAAAAUUAGCGGAUGACCUGUGGCUGGGGGUGAAAGGCCAAUCAAACCGGGAGAUAGCUGGUUCUCCCCGAAAGCUAUUUAGGUAGCGCCUCGUGAAUUCAUCUCCGGGGGUAGAGCACUGUUUCGGCUAGGGGGCCAUCCCGGCUUACCAACCCGAUGCAAACUGCGAAUACCGGAGAAUGUUAUCACGGGAGACACACGGCGGGUGCUAACGUCCGUCGUGAAGAGGGAAACAACCCAGACCGCCAGCUAAGGUCCCAAAGUCAUGGUUAAGUGGGAAACGAUGUGGGAAGGCCCAGACAGCCAGGAUGUUGGCUUAGAAGCAGCCAUCAUUUAAAGAAAGCGUAAUAGCUCACUGGUCGAGUCGGCCUGCGCGGAAGAUGUAACGGGGCUAAACCAUGCACCGAAGCUGCGGCAGCGAACGUAUCACCCAAGACAACUUUACGGAGUUGACGAUUGACGGAGCGAAGCGACGUCAAAGCGUUCAUUAAAGUCGAGUUGGCUUAGGGAUACGUUCGUUGGGUAGGGGAGCGUUCUGUAAGCCUGUGAAGGUGUGUCGUGAGGCAUGCUGGAGGUAUCAGAAGUGCGAAUGCUGACAUAAGUAACGAUAAAGCGGGUGAAAAGCCCGCUCGCCGGAAGACCAAGGGUUCCUGUCCAACGUUAAUCGGGGCAGGGUGAGUCGACCCCUAAGGCGAGGCCGAAAGGCGUAGUCGAUGGGAAACGGGUUAAUAUUCCCGUACUUGGUGUUACUGCGAAGGGGGGACGGAGAAGGCUAUGUUGGCCGGGCGACGGUUGUCCCGGUUUAAGCGUGUAGGUGUGUGUUCCAGGUAAAUCCGGUUCACUUUAACACUGAGGCGUGACGACGAGGCACUACGGUGCUGAAGCAACAAAUGCCCUGCUUCCAGGAAAAGCCUCUAAGCAUCAGGUAACAUCAAAUCGUACCCCAAACCGACACAGGUGGUCAGGUAGAGAAUACCAAGGCGCUUGAGAGAACUCGGGUGAAGGAACUAGGCAAAAUGGUGCCGUAACUUCGGGAGAAGGCACGCUGACACGUAGGUGAAGUGAUUUACUCAUGGAGCUGAAGUCAGUCGAAGAUACCAGCUGGCUGCAACUGUUUAUUAAAAACACAGCACUGUGCAAACACGAAAGUGGACGUAUACGGUGUGACGCCUGCCCGGUGCCGGAAGGUUAAUUGAUGGGGUCAGCGCAAGCGAAGCUCCUGAUCGAAGCCCCGGUAAACGGCGGCCGUAACUAUAACGGUCCUAAGGUAGCGAAAUUCCUUGUCGGGUAAGUUCCGACCUGCACGAAUGGCGUAAUGAUGGCCAGGCUGUCUCCACCCGAGACUCAGUGAAAUUGAACUCGCUGUGAAGAUGCAGUGUACCCGCGGCAAGACGGAAAGACCCCGUGAACCUUUACUAUAGCUUGACACUGAACAUUGAGCCUUGAUGUGUAGGAUAGGUGGGAGGCUUUGAAGUGUGGACGCCAGUCUGCAUGGAGCCGACCUUGAAAUACCACCCUUUAAUGUUUGAUGUUCUAACGUGGACCCGUAAUCCGGGUUGCGGACAGUGUCUGGUGGGUAGUUUGACUGGGGCGGUCUCCUCCUAAAGAGUAACGGAGGAGCACGAAGGUUGGCUAAUCCUGGUCGGACAUCAGGAGGUUAGUGCAAUGGCAUAAGCCAGCUUGACUGCGAGCGUGACGGCGCGAGCAGGUGCGAAAGCAGGUCAUAGUGAUCCGGUGGUUCUGAAUGGAAGGGCCAUCGCUCAACGGAUAAAAGGUACUCCGGGGAUAACAGGCUGAUACCGCCCAAGAGUUCAUAUCGACGGCGGUGUUUGGCACCUCGAUGUCGGCUCAUCACAUCCUGGGGCUGAAGUAGGUCCCAAGGGUAUGGCUGUUCGCCAUUUAAAGUGGUACGCGAGCUGGGUUUAGAACGUCGUGAGACAGUUCGGUCCCUAUCUGCCGUGGGCGCUGGAGAACUGAGGGGGGCUGCUCCUAGUACGAGAGGACCGGAGUGGACGCAUCACUGGUGUUCGGGUUGUCAUGCCAAUGGCACUGCCCGGUAGCUAAAUGCGGAAGAGAUAAGUGCUGAAAGCAUCUAAGCACGAAACUUGCCCCGAGAUGAGUUCUCCCUGAGACUUAGAGUCUCCUGAAGGAACGUUGAAGACGACGACGUUGAUAGGCCGGGUGUGUAAGCGCAGCGAUGCGUUGAGCUAACCGGUACUAAUGAACCGUGAGGCUUAACCUUACA